CAUCAGGAGUUCCUUUAGGAUAAUGGGCCUCAAUUACUGGAUCAUAUCAGCCAGGAAUAGGAUGCAAGAGGACAUUAUGGACCAUUAUGGGUGGAAGGAGUGAGCUGAGCAUAUAUAAUCUGCAGGAUCAAUAGUAAUAAGAUACAGAGUUCACAUGCUGUACUCAGGCUGGUGAUAUAACACUAUAGUAAAAGGAUGACACACGAUCAGCCUGUUGCAUUUUCACGAAUCUGGUCCUGCAGCAGAGGUAGUCAACAUGUGGCUUUCCAGUGGCUGUGAAACUACAAGUCCCAGCAAACCCUGACAAACUCUAGACAACCUGCAGUCGUCCUGAUGUUGUGGAACUACAAGUAUCAGCAUUUGCUAACUCCAUUCUGUAAUUAAAUAGACCAUACCUUUA